ACUGGGCGCGGUGGUGCGUGCCUGUAGUCCCAGGAGGGACUCAGGAGGCUGAGGUGGGAGGAUCGCUUGAGCCUAGGAGUUCUGGCCUGCAGUGUGCUAUGCCGAUCAGGUGUCUGCACUAAGUUCGGCAUCAAUAUGGUGACCUCCUGGGAGCGGGGGACCACCAGGUUGCCUAAGGAGGGGUGAACCGGCCCAGGUCAGAAACAGAGCAGGUCAAAACUCCUGUGCUGAUCAGUAGCGGGAUCGUGCCUAUGAAUAGCCACUGCACUCCAGCCUGGGCAACAUAGCGAGACCCCGCCUCUU
ensembl:misc_RNA Metazoa_SRP Metazoan signal recognition particle RNA